rnacentral:rRNA from 3 species
CAACUUUCAGCAACGGAUCUCUUGGCUCUCGCAUCGAUGAAGAACGCAGCGAAAUGCGAUAAGUAAUGUGAAUUGCAGAAUUCAGUGAAUCAUCGAAUCUUUGAACGCACCUUGCGCUCCUUGGUAUUCCGAGGAGCAUGCCUGUUUGAGUGUCAGUA